rnacentral:rRNA from 1 species
CCUACGGGAGACAGCAGUGAGGAAUAUUGGUCAAUGGUCGGGAGACUGAACCAGCCAAGCCGCGUGAGGGAGGAAGGUACAGCGUAUCGUAAACCUCUUUUGUCAGGGAACAAAGGCGGGGACGUGUCCCCGGCUGAGUGUACCUGAAGAAAAAGCAUCGGCUAACUCCGUGCCAGCAGCCGCGGUAAUACGGAGGAUGCGAGCGUUGUCCGGAUUUAUUGGGUUUAAAGGGUGCGCAGGCGGUCUGUUAAGUCAGCGGUCAAAGCCCGGGGCACAACCCCGGCCCGCCGUUGAAACUGGCAGUCUCGAGUUGGAGAGAAGUAGGCGGAAUGCGCGGUGUAGCGGUGAAAUGCAUAGAUAUCGCGCAGAACUCCGAUUGCGAAGGCAGCAUGCCGGCUCCACACUGACGCUGAGGCACUAAAGCGUGGGUAUCGAACAGGAUUAGAUACCCCUGUAGUC